UCCAGCGCGUGAUGGUCGAACUCGACACCGACCGCGACGGCUUCAUCUGCCUCGACGAGUUCAACGCCUUCUGGGUGGCCGGCUCCCCUGACGGCUCCUCUGCCGAGCUCAAGGGAGCCUUCGAUCUCUACGACCAGGACCGCAACGGCCUCAUCUCCGCCGAAGAGCUCCACCUCGUCCUCAACCGCCUCCAGAUGAAGUGCUCCGUCGAGGACUGCAACCGCAUGAUCCAGACCGUUGACGCCGACGGCGACGGCAAUGUGAAUUUCGAGGAGUUCAAGAAGAUGAUGAGCA
rnacentral:lncRNA from 1 species